rnacentral:lncRNA from 1 species
UUGGCCAGGUCAAAAUCAGAAAUAUAAGGUAAGUUAGAAAAUUGGGUAGAUUAUUGGUCAUGUAAAUAAUAAUGAAUGAAAGUUAUCUGUAAAUCAUUAGAAUCAGAGGACAUUGAAAAUUAAUUGUUCAGCCAGUCAAUGCUGUAUAGCGAGUACCUGCUGAGAAAUGGCGGUGAAUGCGAAACUAUGUCUUUUUUCAGCUAGUCAGGAAAACAGACGCUCAUUUGACAGGGGCCUCAGUAGAUUGUAAAUAGCUCAAAAACGGUGUGCUUCGUUACAGUUACAGACCGGUUGGGUUAUUUGGGGCGCCACGACUUGUUUUGGGACUGC